CACAUAACAAAUAGUUUUUUUAAGUCUCCAUUUCUGUAUUUUAAAACACCAGGUAUAUUACUAUAGCUUACAUAACAUAUAACCACCCAUUUAAAUUAUAUAAUGAAUUUGAUGAAUUUUACUAUACAGUUGUUCACCCACACAAUUGUUUUAUAAACAUUUAUGCCUCAUAUCCUUUGGUAAUUCCUGUUUCCCUUAUACCCUACUCCCAGCCAACCCUAGGAAACUACUGACUUAUUUUUUGCCGUCUAGACUUGCCUAGACAUUUCAUAUAUAUGGAAUUAUUCAGCAUCUAGCAUGUUGUGUUCCUCCUGCUUUAACCUUCUGAAAACAGGUGUACAGAUAUUUCCCAGACUCCUGUUGUACUCCUAGAAACAGCCCCGUACUGGACCUAUAGAGCUGCUGUUACAGACUUCGACACUCCAGGUCUCUUAAUGUGCACGAAAGCUAUCAGCAAUUUAUUCCUUCAGGAUAGCAGAGUUCCUCAAGCUUGGUCUCCCAGAUCAGAAGGUUGUUCUACUGCUGUAUUCUUGGGGAUAUUAUUCCCAAUUACUUCGUUUUUCAACUAUCACAUGUUCUAUAAUCAGCUUUAUUUUCCAUUUCUACCUUACUUUGUUAGAUCUUCUAUUUUUUACCAUUAUUGCCCCUUGUUUUAAAUUUUUAUUUAGUAUGUUAUUGACCAAAUUCAAUAUUCCUUUCUCUUCCUUUUGCUGUCUUUCUUUUAGCAGUUUUCUUCCAUUCACAUCUCUCUUCCAGCCUCCAGCAACAGCCUGCACAGUAGAUUCAGUGGAGUGGUGAAACAGGUCCUGGGAGAGGAUGGAGCUUCCCUUAGAAGGCUGUUAAUGAAGAUGAGGCUGUUAUCCCUGACAGGGAAUAAUUCUCCUCCUCCUCUUCUUUCUCCUCCUCCUUUUCUUCCUCCUCCUCUUCCUCCACCUCUUCCUCCUCCUCCAAAACAGAGUUUCUCUGUGUAGUCCUGACUGUCUGGAAGUCACUCUAUAGACCAGGCUAGUCACAAACUCAGAGAUUUACUUGCCUUUGCCUCCUAAGUUCUAGGAUCAAAGGAGUGUACCACCACUGCCCAACUAGGAGAGUUACUCUUUUGUCCUCCAUGUACUAUUUGAUCAGAUCAACUCCCAGGUUGCUUAACACAAAAAUGACUUUGUAAGCUCACUUGAAAGAACAAGGAAGAACAGAUCCAGGAUUGUAGCAUCAAUGUCUCGGGUGAUGAAACAGGCACCAAUAGAAAGAAUUCUGAGAGAAGUGUUUAUCCUCACCUCAGGCUUAGAGUCAUUCACUGUGCCUCUGGGCAGAGGAUAACUGGUUGGUGAAAGUAGCGGUUAAAUAGAUAUUUAACUCUUUUGUUGA